GUGCGCGCGUGGCCGUGAGCCUCCGCAGGCGUCGGGGGUGGGCCCGGCUGAGCUUGGGAAGACUGACGGCUUCCGAGCGGGGCGGGAGGGGGCCCGUGCUUCUUUCCCGGGCGUCCUGUCCCUCCUCUUUCCUGGCCUCGCCUUCUUUUCCAGCUUCCUGGUUUUUUGGUGUUGUGAAGUGCCUGCCUGGCUCAGUGGGAAGAGCGCGGGACUCUCGGGACUCUUGAUCUCGGGCUGACAAGUUUUUUCAGAUUGUUCUCCAGUAAAACAGUGGUGUCCUAUGAGCUGGUUCAAGGUGUUUUACAGAGUCACUCUAUACGAAGAUGCCCUAAAGAGUGAGUGAGAAGAAAUGGGAAACAGAGGAAACAUGUCCUGCUUUAUCCCAUGCUGUAUGCUAGUCAUCCCCAAGAAGAGAGAACCAUGCUGUUCAGAGCUAAUGAUUGAACAAGGUGGCUGCUCAAACUUUGGGAAACACGAAUGACUACAUCUUGACUCAUCUUUCCUGUCAGAAAUCCUGAGGCUCAGAGUAACUUAUCGAUUGUUUGUUUUUGAUAAGUAGGGAGGACUUUCUUGGGCCAACCACCUUCAGCCCCCACACUGAAGAUCUCUGAGUCAUGCUGUGAAUCAUCACAAGACUCAAGACAGGAUGUGCAAGUUCUUACUCCUGGCACAGUCAUCUCAAAAGGCUUGGUAUACCUUAAUAUGUGAAUAUUGACCAUAUUCAGCCUGAAGACGGUCUGGACAGCAGAUUUUUCCUCCACUCCUCCCCCCAUUCCUCAGGGAAGCACCUCAGAAAUGACUAACAUCAUGACAGGAAAGGUAGAUAACUGUUAUCACCUGCCUUAGCUUACAAAGAAGCACGUAGUAGUGGUUUCUUAUAAGUACUCAGGACUAACGGAGAAAAUCUAAUGACUGUACUUUGGUCAUAGAGUGAACUUUGUUGGAUGUGUAAUCAUGAGCACUGGAUUAGAGAUAAACCCACUUUUUAGUCGUUGAAAAGAACAACAUACUGGGAGCGUUGGUUAUAUAUUAGAAUAAGAGAAAGCAGAUAUAUUUGGAUAUGUUCAAAAAGACCAACAUGUCAUAUUAACACAAUUCAUAAAUAGAACUAAUGAAAUCCAAAGUCAAGAGUAACAUCAGAGGCAGCUCAAAGUUGUCAUGAGGCAAGAUGAGCUUACCAACAUUUAAACCAGGUUAUAUAAAAAAUAAAACCAUUGUUUUUUUCCUCCCUUUUUUAUUGUUUCAAGUUUUUAUUUAAAUUACAGCAUACAACAUAAUAUGUUGGUUAACAUACAGCAUAAUAUUAGUUUCAGGAGUAGGAUGUAGUGAUUCAUCACUACAUACAAUAUCCAGUGCUCAUCACAAGUGCCCUCCUUAAUACCCAUCACCCAUUUGACCCAACUGCCCCCCACCUUCCCUCCAGCAACCCUCAGUUUGUUCGCUAUAGUUAAGAGUCUCUUUUAUGGUUUGCUUCUCCCCACCAACCAUGUUCAUCUGUUUUGUUUCUUAAAUUCCACAUAUGAGCGAAA